AGAAAAACUACCACAACAAGAGGUCAUGGUCUGAAAUUAGAUGAGCAAAGGUUUAAAAAUAUCAGGAAGCAUUACUUUACUGAGAGGGUAGUGGACACAUGGAAUAACCUUCCAGCUGGGGUGGUAGAGGUUAACACAGUGAAGGAGUUUAAGCAUGUGUGGGAUAGGCAAGGCUAUCCUAGACUUAAAGGACCACUAUAGUGCCAGGAAAACAUACUCACUUUUCUGGUACUAUAGUGCCCUGAGGGUGCCCCCACCCUCAGGGACCCCCUCCCGCAGGGCUGGAUGGCGAGGAAAGGGUUAAAUCUUACCUUUUUUCCAGCGCCGGGAGGGGAGCUGCUCUCCUCCUCUCCGGCUGAAUGCGCAUGUGCGGCAGGAGCCGCGCGCGCACUCAGUCUGUCUCAUAGGAAAGCAUUCAUAAUGCUUUCCUAUGGACGCUUGCGUCUUCUCACUGUGUUUUUGACAGAAGCACGCAAACGCCUCUAGCGGCUGUCAAUGAAACAGCAACUAGAGGCUUUAGAGGCUGGAUUAACCCUAUUAUAAACUGC